rnacentral:rRNA from 1 species
UACGGGAGGAACAAGCGUUAUUCAUAGUGACUUGGCGUUUAGGGUAUUCUGGUGGCUUUUCUACUGAUUUAUAUGAAAGACUUGCGGGCAACGGAAGAAGGAUAUAUCUAACAGUUUCAGCUUGAGUUGAUAGAGGUUACGGGUAUGAUAAGAAGAGCGAUGCAAUGCAAUUACACUUGUAGGAACUCCAAAGGCGAAGGCACGUAACUAGGUACAACUGACACUCGCGUACUAAAGCUUGGGGAUCGAACGGG